AUUGAACGCUGGCGGCAGGCCUAACACAUGCAAGUCGAGCGAGCGUCGCACGGGUGUGUAAUGUAUGGGGACUGCCCGAUAGAGAGGGAUAACUACUGUACACGGUGUCUAAUAUCGCAUACUGUCGGGUUACCCAUAUGGGAUUAGCUAGUAGGUAGGGUAAUGGCUUACCUAGGCGACGCUCCCUAGCUGGUCUGAGAGGAUGAGCAGCCACACUGGGACUGAGACACGGCCCAGACUCCUACGGAGGCAGCAGUGGGGAAUAUUGCACAAUGGGCGCAAGCCUGAUGCAGCCAUGCCGCGUGUAUGAAGAAGGCCCUAGGGUUGUAAAGUACUUUCAGUCGGGAGGCGUUACCGACAGAAGAAGCACCGGCUAACUCCGUGCCAGCCGCCGCGGUAAUAC
rnacentral:rRNA from 1 species